rfam:Stachybotrys chartarum IBT 40288 unplaced genomic scaffold scaffold512, whole genome shotgun sequence.
GCCCCUAUAGCUCAGUGGUAGAGCGUUAUACUUGUAUCCACUGCAAGAUCAUAUAAAGGUCCGUAGUUCAAACCUGCGUGGGGGCU